rnacentral:rRNA from 1 species
AUUGAACGCUGGCGGCAUGCUUUACACAUGCAAGUCGGACGGCAGCACAGAGAAGCUUGCUUCUUGGGUGGCGAGUGGCGGACGGGUGAGUAAUAUAUCGGAACGUACCGAGUAAUGGGGGAUAACUAAUCGAAAGAUUAGCUAAUACCGCAUAUUCUCUGAGGAGGAAAGCAGGGGACCUUCGGGCCUUGCGUUAUUCGAGCGGCCGAUAUCUGAUUAGCUAGUUGGUGGGGUAAAGGCCUACCAAGGCGACGAUCAGUAGCGGGUCUGAGAGGAUGAUCCGCCACACUGGGACUGAGACACGGCCCAGACUCCUACGGGAGGCAGCAGUGGGGAAUUUUGGACAAUGGGCGCAAGCCUGAUCCAGCCAUGCCGCGUGUCUGAAGAAGGCCUUCGGGUUGUAAAGGACUUUUGUCAGGGAAGAAAAGGCUGUUGCUAAUAUCAAUAGCUGAUGACGGUACCUGAAGAAUAAGCACCGGCUAACUACGUG